ACAGCAGCAGCCACGGUAAUACGUAGGGUGCAAGCGGUAAUCGGAAUUACUGGGCGUAAAGCGUGCGCAGGCGGUUUUGUAAGUCUGUCGUGAAAUCCCCGGGCUCAACCUGGGAAUGGCGAUGGAGACUGCAAGGCUAGAAUCUGGCAGAGGGGGGUAGAAUUCCACGUGUAGCAGUGAAAUGCGUAGAUAUGUGGAGGAACACCGAUGGCGAAGGCAGCCCCCUGGGCCAAUACUGACGCUGAGGCGCGAAAGCUAGGGGAGCAAACAGGAUUAGAUACCCCCGUAGUCCCUGUCCUUAUACA
rnacentral:rRNA from 1 species